UACGGAGGGUGCGAGCGUUAAUCGGAAUUACUGGGCGUAAAGCGCACGCAGGCGGUUUGUUAAGCUAGAUGUGAAAGCCCCGGGCUCAACCUGGGAUGGUCAUUUAGAACUGGCAGACUAGAGUCUUGGAGAGGGGAGUGGAAUUCCAGGUGUAGCGGUGAAAUGCGUAGAUACCUGGAGGAACAUCAGUGGCGAAGGCGACUCCCUGGCCAAAGACUGACGCUCAUGUGCGAAAGUGUGGGUAGCGAACAGG
rnacentral:rRNA from 1 species